UACGGGGGGGGCAAGCGUUGUUCGGAAUUACUGGGCGUAAAGGGCUCGUAGGCGGCCAACUAAGUCAGACGUGAAAUCCCUCGGCUUAACCGGGGGACUGCGUCUGAUACUGGAUGGCUUGAGGUUGGGAGAGGGAUGCGGAAUUCCAGGUGUAGCGGUGAAAUGCGUAGAUAUCUGGAGGAAUACCGGCGGCGAAAGCGACUCUCUGGACGGCAACUGACGCUGAGGCACGAAAGCGUGGGGAGCAAACAGG
rnacentral:rRNA from 1 species